rnacentral:SRP_RNA from 1 species
GCCGGGUGCGGUGGCUCACACCUGUAAUCCCAGCACUUUGGGAGGCCGAGGCGGGAGGAUCACUUGAGGUCAGGAGUUUGAGACCAGCCUGGCCAACAUGGUGAAACCCCGUCUCUA